rnacentral:rRNA from 1 species
GGGUUGUGAGGUUAAGCGACUAAGCGUACACGGUGGAUGCCCUGGCAGUCAGAGGCGAUGAAGGACGUGCUAAUCUGCGAUAAGCGUCGGUAAGGUGAUAUGAACCGUUAUAACCGGCGAUUUCCGAAUGGGGAAACCCAGUGUGAUUCGUCACACUAUCAUUAACUGAAUCCAUAGGUUAAUGAGGCGAACCGGGGGAACUGAAACAUCUAAGUACCCCGAGGAAAAGAAAUCAACCGAGAUUCCCCCAGUAGCGGCGAGCGAACGGGGAGCAGCCCAGAGCCUGAAUCAGUAUGUGUGUUAGUGGAAGCGUCUGGAAAGGCGCGCGAUACAGGGUGACAGCCCCGUACACAAAAAUGCACAUGCUGUGAGCUCGAUGAGUAGGGCGGGACACGUGGUAUCCUGUCUGAAUAUGGGGGGACCAUCCUCCAAGGCUAAAUACUCCUGACUGACCGAUAGUGAACCAGUACCGUGAGGGAAAGGCGAAAAGAACCCCGGCGAGGGGAGUGAAAAAGAACCUGAAACCGUGUACGUACAAGCAGUGGGAGCACGCUUAGGCGUGUGACUGCGUACCUUUUGUAUAAUGGGUCAGCGACUUAUAUUCUGUAGCAAGGUUAACCGAAUAGGGGAGCCGAAGGGAAACCGAGUCUUAACUGGGCGUUAAGUUGCAGGGUAUAGACCCGAAACCCGGUGAUCUAGCCAUGGGCAGGUUGAAGGUUGGGUAACACUAACUGGAGGACCGAACCGACUAAUGUUGAAAAAUUAGCGGAUGACUUGUGGCUGGGGGUGAAAGGCCAAUCAAACCGGGAGAUAGCUGGUUCUCCCCGAAAGCUAUUUAGGUAGCGCCUCGUGAAUUCAUCUCCGGGGGUAGAGCACUGUUUCGGCAAGGGGGUCAUCCCGACUUACCAACCCGAUGCAAACUGCGAAUACCGGAGAAUGUUAUCACGGGAGACACACGGCGGGUGCUAACGUCCGUCGUGAAGAGGGAAACAACCCAGACCGCCAGCUAAGGUCCCAAAGUCAUGGUUAAGUGGGAAACGAUGUGGGAAGGCCCAGACAGCCAGGAUGUUGGCUUAGAAGCAGCCAUCAUUUAAAGAAAGCGUAAUAGCUCACUGGUCGAGUCGGCCUGCGCGGAAGAUGUAAUGGGGCUAAACCAUGCACCGAAGCUGCGGCAGCGACGCUUAUGCGUUGUUGGGUAGGGGAGCGUUCUGUAAGCCUGUGAAGGUGUGCUGUGAGGCAUGCUGGAGGUAUCAGAAGUGCGAAUGCUGACAUAAGUAACGAUAAAGCGGGUGAAAAGCCCGCUCGCCGGAAGACCAAGGGUUCCUGUCCAACGUUAAUCGGGGCAGGGUGAGUCGACCCCUAAGGCGAGGCCGAAAGGCGUAGUCGAUGGGAAACAGGUUAAUAUUCCUGUACUUGGUGUUACUGCGAAGGGGGGACGGAGAAGGCUAUGUUGGCCGGGCGACGGUUGUCCCGGUUUAAGCGUGUAGGCUGGUUUUCCAGGCAAAUCCGGAAAAUCAAGGCUGAGGCGUGAUGACGAGGCACUACGGUGCUGAAGCAACAAAUGCCCUGCUUCCAGGAAAAGCCUCUAAGCAUCAGGUAACAUCAAAUCGUACCCCAAACCGACACAGGUGGUCAGGUAGAGAAUACCAAGGCGCUUGAGAGAACUCGGGUGAAGGAACUAGGCAAAAUGGUGCCGUAACUUCGGGAGAAGGCACGCUGAUAUGUAGGUGAAGUCCCUCGCGGAUGGAGCUGAAAUCAGUCGAAGAUACCAGCUGGCUGCAACUGUUUAUUAAAAACACAGCACUGUGCAAACACGAAAGUGGACGUAUACGGUGUGACGCCUGCCCGGUGCCGGAAGGUUAAUUGAUGGGGUCAGCGCAAGCGAAGCUCUUGAUCGAAGCCCCGGUAAACGGCGGCCGUAACUAUAACGGUCCUAAGGUAGCGAAAUUCCUUGUCGGGUAAGUUCCGACCUGCACGAAUGGCGUAAUGAUGGCCAGGCUGUCUCCACCCGAGACUCAGUGAAAUUGAACUCGCUGUGAAGAUGCAGUGUACCCGCGGCAAGACGGAAAGACCCCGUGAACCUUUACUAUAGCUUGACACUGAACAUUGAGCCUUGAUGUGUAGGAUAGGUGGGAGGCUUGGAAGUGUGGACGCCAGUCUGCAUGGAGCCGACCUUGAAAUACCACCCUUUAAUGUUUGAUGUUCUAACGUUGACCCGUAAUCCGGGUUGCGGACAGUGUCUGGUGGGUAGUUUGACUGGGGCGGUCUCCUCCUAAAGAGUAACGGAGGAGCACGAAGGUUGGCUAAUCCUGGUCGGACAUCAGGAGGUUAGUGCAAUGGCAUAAGCCAGCUUGACUGCGAGCGUGACGGCGCGAGCAGGUGCGAAAGCAGGUCAUAGUGAUCCGGUGGUUCUGAAUGGAAGGGCCAUCGCUCAACGGAUAAAAGGUACUCCGGGGAUAACAGGCUGAUACCGCCCAAGAGUUCAUAUCGACGGCGGUGUUUGGCACCUCGAUGUCGGCUCAUCACAUCCUGGGGCUGAAGUAGGUCCCAAGGGUAUGGCUGUUCGCCAUUUAAAGUGGUACGCGAGCUGGGUUUAGAACGUCGUGAGACAGUUCGGUCCCUAUCUGCCGUGGGCGCUGGAGAACUGAGGGGGGCUGCUCCUAGUACGAGAGGACCGGAGUGGACGCAUCACUGGUGUUCGGGUUGUCAUGCCAAUGGCACUGCCCGGUAGCUAAAUGCGGAAGAGAUAAGUGCUGAAAGCAUCUAAGCACGAAACUUGCCCCGAGAUGAGUUCUCCCUGACUCCUUGAGAGUCCUGAAGGAACGUUGAAGACGACGACGUUGAUAGGCCGGGUGUGUAAGCGCAGCGAUGCGUUGAGCUAACCGGUACUAAUGAACCGUGAGGCUUAACCUUACAACGCCGAAGGUGUUU